GACCCAUAGCCUAUACUCAAUACUUACUACCUAUAUGUGUCCACGAAAUAAAACAAUCGUUGAAGAGCCUUGAAUGACAGAAAAAUAUCGAGCAGCAUUAGGAGGUUUAAAAACUGAUUAUUGGGCUCAAUGAAAAUCCACCCCAUCAAAUGGUCCACCCCUAAUACAUAAUAUUUCUAAAAUCCAUAUAUAGAAUAGUCGUCGCAUGCAAAUCGGCCAUUUCUACGUGUGAACCUCGUAGGUUUAUAAUUAAAACGGAGAUUAUUUUCAUUAUAAAACAACAAGUCAGCACUAUUUAAACUACGAAAAUGUCAGCAAGUUAAUGUCAUCAUCAUUUAAUUCUGCCAAGCAGAAGCUCCAAAACUAAGGCGCUUUUUUACAAUAUUUCCAAACGUUUAAGUUUCCCGAGAAAGACAGCGUAUAGCCAUCAUACAUAAGUAUUAAAUUAAAUUCCAUUGCUAAAAAUUCGAACGGGUGAAAACAUAUUCCUUUCACAAAUCUAAGGCUGGUAGCCUGGUAUACUUUAAUUUAGUGUAUUAUAAUUAGUUGCGGUAGUAAUCAUGUGUUUAUAAAAUGCUCCGUCGUCCGUCGUCCGCCGUCCGCCCGCCUUUUAUCUACAGCCUCACAUAUCAUAGCCCCAGGUGGUCUUCCUGCUUAGACGCUCAUCUCUAACUUUACUUUUAUAUUUUCACUUUUAUAUUUUCACUUUUAUAUUUUCACUUUUAUAUUUUUACUUUUAUAUUUUUACUUUUAUAUUUUCACUUGUAUAUUUUCACUUUUAUAUUUUCACUUUUAUAUUUUCAUUUUUAUAUUUUCACUGUUUAACUUU